AUUGUGGCCUCUUAGAGAGUGGAGAUGCCUUUCCAUUGUGAGAGGGGGAGAAGAGAAAAACAACAACAACAAAAGGAAGGGGCCGAGCUGAGCUGGCAGACACAUCAUCCCUUAUUAUCAGACUGCUGGAAAGCCCAGGACCCUCUGGACAUCUCCCUGCGGGGGACACAGAUGAGUAGGUCAUACUUCUGGAAUGUGGACUGGGACAGGUGGAGGCGGACGUUUAGGUUAAAAAGGCCCUAUGGCGUCAUCCCUGUCCCCUCUGCUGCACAGUUUCCUUCAAGACUGUCUGCUGGCAAAUCUCCGAAAAGAACUCUGGAUCCUGCACUAUGUUUUGUUUGGCCGCAGUGAUUAUUUUCAUAGAAAGAACAUCUUUAUUGAUAAAACUUUGUCUGUUGUCCAGGGCUGUUUUGCUCGCGUUUUUGUUUGGUUUGCCAGUCCAUGGCGAGAACUCUGUCUCCCUCCUGACUUGUGAAAGAUGCAUAAUUGUAAGAAUGAUAUCUUUGUUUUUGAAGAAAAUAAUGUUUGUUUUUGGUGAGGCAAUUAGUGAAACUGAAAAAUGAAAGCAAGAAAAUGCCAAAAUAAGUUCCCAUUUUUAAGGUUUGAAAUGAUGAUUUGUGACAUAUUUUGAGGAUCUUCAUUCGCCCUCUUUUCUUUCAUUAUGUCUUUGUCGGGAAAUAGAAUAUCCAGUCACAUAAAAUAGUCUGAAAGAAUCUGCAAAAGUAAUUUAAAUAUGUGAAUCUGAACUCAAGACUUAAUAAUUCAAGACUAUUAUAAACUCUAUGGUAAAUUACCUAUUUUAGCCUUAUUUGUGUGCUACUAUCUGCUUGUGUAUCAAUUGUGUGUUUUUGUAUGGUUUUGUCUGCAACAUUUAAUGCUGCAAAGUUUGCCAGAUCUCCCUUGCAAAAGAGAUAUCCAACCUCAUUGGAAUGUAACUGCUUCAAUAAAAAUUAAGUAUGAAAAUAGAUUAAAGAAAUGUACCAUUUAGGAAGAAAUCCACCCGCACCCUACUCUCCCCCUCUCUGUCUCUCAGUGCGGUUAUAAUACGGCUGAGCAGCUGUCAGAGCAGUUACAGGUGUUAAAAGAGUCCAGAGCUCAUGCAUUGGUACAUUUUGUCACACAAAGGUGGCUCUCAGCUCUGGGAGCUGAGCAGCUCUCAUUGUUUAUUAGAGUGGCGGACUGCAGGUGGCCCAACCUAUAGGACUAAUAACUGACAUUAUUAAUUAACACACAGCACACCGCUACAGGAGGGAGAUGUAUGAAACUAUCAGCAAAACCUUUUAUUUUCGAAAGUUUUAAAAAUUUGUUUCAGCAAGGAGGUCAAAUAAAGAUAAACUGUUAUUUGCCAUGAUGGCCUGGCAGUAAUUGCUACUAGGCAGUAGUUGAUUCACUGAGGACACGUGGGACAAACUGAAGGCUUGUAAGCAUCAGUUUGUCUGGAGGAACAUCUCCCUGUUCGACCUGGCCUCAGACAGCAAGCUAACUCUCGCUUUAAUGAUAAUAAUAAGGCUAACAUGGUAUAGCCUCUCUCCCUUCGAGCCCACAAUUACUAGCCUGGCACACUGCGUACGCACACAGUCUGUCUGGGGAGCAAGCCACUGGAUAAUUCUUGGUUACCUGUCGCAGCCACUUCUCACAAACACACUUAACAUACAAAUACCAGAAGGGAAAAAAAGCACACAUGCGUUCAGGAACAUGCACACACUGCACAUAUGAAUUAGCCAAACAUGCAGGGAGCCAAACGUGGAUUUGCAGCUAAUUUUCCUUCCCAAAAAUGUCUAGUUAAGAUGAAACCACUGCUGUUACCUCAUCUCUAGGGGUCAUUCAAAACCCCAGAGGGUGUAUGCAUUUGGUGAGUUACAGGAAAUUACUGAUGAUGUUCUGUGUUAAUUGACAAUAAAACAAAGGCAAUUUU